rnacentral:tRNA from 1 species
GGAGAGGUCGCAUAGCCCGGUCUAGUGCGCACGCCUGGAAAGCGUGUUCGGCUAAACCCCGACGCAGGUUCAAAUCCUGUCCUCUCCG